rnacentral:rRNA from 1 species
GACGAACGCUGGCGGCGUGCUUAACACAUGCAAGUCGAACGGAAAGGCCCUGCUUGCAGGGUACUCGAGUGGCGAACGGGUGAGUAACACGUGGGUGAUCUGCCCUGCACCUCGGGCUAAGCCUGGGCAACUGGGUCUAAUACCGGAUAGGAGCCAUUUUUAGAGUGAUGGUUGGAAAGUUUUUUCGGUGUAGGAUGAGCUCGCGGCCUAUCAGCUUGUUGGUGGGGUAAUGGCCUACCAAGGCGGCGACGGGUAGCCGGCCUGGGAGGGUGGACGGCCACAUUGGGACUGAGAUACGGCCCAGACUCCUACGGGAGGCAGCAGUGGGGAAUAUUGCACAAUGAGCGCAAGCCUGAUGCAGCGACGCCGCGUGGGGGAUGACGGCCUUCGGGUUGUAAACUCCUUUCGCUAGGGACGAAGCUUUUUGUGACGGUACCUAGAUAAGAAGCACCGGCUAACUACGUG